GAGAAAGAAAAACAAGGCAGAAAACGGAUUCAGCAUUGGAAUUGAUCUGUGCAGUAUUUCUGUAGCAAGUGCACAGGAACAUGACCUGGGCUCAACCAGUCAGCUGCACCCACUCGACUUUGUGUUGGGAGCUAGUGGAGAAUCUCUUCUACUUGUGGUAACAGUGUGUGACUAACGCCUGCUGCAGAGCUCCAGUGGAAAUAGAACAAGGGUGGCAUACGAUGUCCAUGCCAGAGAUGGCGCUAGAGCUGCAGUCCAUGCAAGAGGAGCUGCAAAGGUGCAGGAGGACCCUGAGGAGGCCUUAAGAGGAGCCCUCAUCAACCUGGAAGGGGCCCAUGAACAAAUGAGCCUCUACCACCAUCCACCACUGCCCAGAGCAGGGCCCUGGAACUGUCCCUGGAGAUCCGCUGAGUCUCUCUGAAGCAGGACUCCCUUGCUCAGGAGCUGCUUGGCAGAAUCCAACAGCAUCCAGAAUUCGCCAGUAGUAGGAAAAGUCCCCUUGUAACUGAGCAGUACCCUAGGGGACCUUCCCAAGAACAGACCCCCUCCUCCCCUCCAUGUCUUCUGCCUACCACUUGUUUGUAGAAAAACUUCAGCUUCCUAGCCUUCCCCAAGUUCCAAACAAUAAAUUUAAUCAGAGAAAUGAGAAAAUGCAGAAACAAAGGAAAAUAGUCAAGCGAGGCAAGUUAUUACUAGUUUAGCCAUUAAACAAAAUCAAGGACCUUUACUUCCUCCUCAAGGGAUAUAGAUAACAUUCUGAGCCAUAUCCUUUGAGCUGUUUUGCAGAUACUGAAACACUCACCAGAUGGAAGAAAUUAACUGUGUGCUGCCCACAGGCACACAGACCCCAGACCAGUUGGAACCAGAAAAACUAGCUGACCAGAGAUUUAUGGCUCAGGUCAUGUUGCAACUGCAAGCAAUACAUGAUGGCUACUUGGAAUGGCAUGAUGGAGACAAUCGUCUCUGAAAAUAGAAGAUUAACCCCCACCCUAGCACAUAGCCCUUUCCUCUUUCCCUAUAUAAUCUCUCAGUAAAGAGGGAGUGGGGAAUUGGUUCUUUGUGAUGUAAGUCCACCUUAUCCCCAGGAUCUCCAGCUUCCUCAAUAAAGUUAUCUUUCUUUUUACCCAAAACAUGUCUCUCGGUACUGGAUUCUUGAGUGAAUUCAGUAACACCUUCAUGACUCUAGAUCCAUGGUUUCAGUUCUGGUCCUGGAUGCUGCCUGCUAUCUUUUGUACUUUCCUUUUUUCAGAAUGUGGUUCCCUAGCUUUGCUGGCAAUUCUCUUAGCUAUAUAAAAUUCUUGUAAUAAAUUACUUUUCUAUCUAA